UUCAUGAGGAUGGACAGGAGAAGAUCCUGCCUUUGGAUACGGAGGGAAACACUGGAGGGAGAAGUCUAUGCAGUGGAGUUGAGGAAGAUCAGUCACCCACUUCUUGGCCUCCCUUCAGCAUCUAUUCAGGCAGCUCCAUUACCUUCCAUGGAUAGUCUCUUCUUUGGCCCUGGAAAAAGCAGGAAAAAAAAUGGUAUGUCUCCCGCGAUCGUCCCUUCCGCCAGGGCAACCGGAUCAAUAACGCUGGCGCCCGCUCUCCGUCGGUGCCACCUGCGGCCGCGGAGCCGGCCCUGUCACAGCAUCCCUGUGGCAGAGGAAGACCACGGCUGCAUCCCCAGAGGCUGCGAAAGCCAUCGCCUAAGAACUCUCUGUUGUCUCGCUUGCGUCCUGCAGGCGGUUCCAUAAGUGGUGGCAACCCAGUGGCGGGGCUGCCUCCCUAAAUCUCACCUGCCUGACCUCAGCUUGACAACGUCUUAACAGGCGCAGAGAACCAUCAAGGCUCCGUGCGGAGCCAGGCGCUCCAUCAGCCUCUCGGCAGAUGUCGGGGCCCAGGGCCGGAUGCGGAGUGGGGAGCGCGAGACAGGCCCAGAGACACAGCCUCCUGCAUCCCUAUGGAGAAGAAAGACUGGAGCUGGAAACUCAGGGAUGCUUGCCUUCCUCUGGACACAGGCAGGCGAGCUAAGCUGUGUGGCUGCAGGGGCUGCCCUGGCCCCCAGCUGCUGGAGGAGUCCAGCAGCAUCUGUAAACCCAGACGGAGGCUCUCGGUGUCCCUGGCUCUCUCUGCAUCGGGCCCUCAUGCUGAUGGUGAUGAAGCUUCGCCAGACGCUCGGGAGAAUCUUUCCCUGGGAUGAGGAUUAACCGUGGCUAUUAGUGCUUGUGCAGGGGGAGCCUCCCCUCCCCUCAGCAGAAGUGCGUGCUUCCUGGGGAUUAGGCGUUAAUGUUUCUGGAACAACAGUGUCAGCUUCUCCAGGUUUGGGGGUCUGUUCCAGGGCUCCCAUGAGCCCCCUGGCUGCGGUUCCACUUGGAUCAGGGUUUGCCAUUAAAUGCAAUGAGGAGCCUGGGCCAUUUAUCACAGUGAAUCCAGUGCCUAAAUCUGGGAGGAAAUGGUCACUGCUCCAAAUCAGAUCUGAGUCUCUCUGCCAGGAACCGAGUCGGGCUCGCUCGGCUGGAUUCUUGGGCUGAGUUGUUAUCCGUUUGUAAAAAUAAAUGCUAUUCAUUUAACUUC